rnacentral:lncRNA from 1 species
UGUUUCAAAAAAAAAAGAAAAAAAUAAUAAUAACAAUAAUAGGUGAAAUCCACCUUGCAACUUCCAAAAAAAUAAAAUAAAAUUCAUCUGCAUUUUUCUCAAACAUACACUUUGUUUUCCUUAUUUCCCUUAUUUGUUAACCAUGUCCCUAGCCUACGUUACAUCCUAAUAAAAGUCCUUCUUGAUUUUAGGGAACUAUAAUCUGAAGUAGAAGCUAGUUAUGUGGGCUAAAAAGAUGUAGUGGUGCAUAAUAAAAAAAAUUAAAAAAAAAGAUAAAUAAAUUGAGUUGACUAGCAUUUUUGUUUGACUUGAGAUCGUAUUAUUUUUAAGCUGAGGGCAUAUUUAUUUCAUAUUGGUGAGAGCAUGUGAUAUCACUUCUUUAUUAUUUUCUUUCUCAAUUACCAUUCAUUGGAGUGACUAUUUUUAUUGGUUUUAAUUUCUUUGUGAGAGUGUCACUACUUCCAGUGAGAUUUUGGGGUUUGACAUGUCAUUCUUGAAAGUAGCUAUAACAAAGUCUAUUGGGCUGAUUCAUGUGGAUGAUUGAUGUGGGUGUGAUGUUGCUUUAGACUGGAGAUAAUGCUAAUACUUUUAUUUGAUUGCUAUCAUUAAUUUGAUUGAAUAAACACGAGUGUUUCUAAUAAAUAAAUAAAUAAAUCAUUUUGGAUUUGAAUUUUGUUUUCGCUUUAUUUGCUAGGGACUAGCAAUAAGUUGGUUGGGGGUGUGUUAAGUGUUAGAAAAUGCAUAUUUAUAAAGGAGAAAACCGUUAUUUUAUAUUUCAAGUCUUACUAACAACCUUUACUUUUAUAUAUUUAACCUUCUUGUGAUUCAAUUACGUGCGUUUUAUUUUAAUUAAGUAAUUUAUGUAUUUUAGGGGCAUUAUAGUUAUUUCACAAUAAAGGAGAGAUCAGAUGGCAAAACGGACAUCACUUUUGAACUCAGGACGGUCGAAAACCUUAGGAGGGGCAUAAAAGGAAAAAUGGCACUAUUCACAUGUACGGUACUAUUCACGUGUACGGUACUGUUUACGUUACUGUUCACGACACUGUUCACAUAGACAGAUCAACGACGUGGCAUUGACCGAUGAUGUGGCAUUGACUGAUGAGGUGUCACGAUCCUAUUGAACUAAAAUUCUUAUGUACUGUUGAUGGUGACAUGGCAGCAUAUCAGUGGACGAAAAAUCUCGCGUACGGUGCAUGCAUCACACAUGAUUAUUUUCAACCAAACCGCGUUACUGUUCAACCCGGGUCAAACCGUGUUACUGUUCAUCCGCGUGGUCAAACCACGUACUGUUGACUGAUGACGUGGUGCAAUCCUGAGCGUCCAAACUGUUUUUAAUCCGAUGGCCAUGAUUCACUCCAUGUAUCUAUAAAAAGGGGGCCUCUCCCCCCUAAUUUGAUAUCUCUGAAUCCAUUU